rnacentral:rRNA from 1 species
UACGGAGGGAGCAAGCGUUACUCGGAAUUAUUGGGCGUAAAGGGCGCGUAGGCGAUCUGACAAGUCUGGUGUGAAAGCCCACAUGUUAACUGUGGAAGUGCAUUAGAAACUGUUGGAUUUGAGUUCAGGAGAGGAAAGCAGAAUUCCCGGUGUAGCGGUGAAAUGCGUAGAGAUCGGGAGGAAUACCAGUGGCGAAGGCGGCUUUCUGGACUGACACUGACGCUGAGGCGCGAAAGCCAGGGGAGCAAACGGG